GGGGCCCGCACAAGCGGUGGAGCAUGUGGUUUAAUUUCGACGCAACGCGAAGAACCUUACCAGGGCUUGACAUCCCCUGACCGCGUAUGAAAGUACGUUUUCACCUCGGGUGACAGGGAGACAGGUGGUGCAUGGUUGUCGUCAGCUCGUGUCGUGAGAUGUUGGGUUAAGUCCCGCAACGAGCGCAACCCCUACGUUUAGUUGCUAACGCGUGAAGGCGAGCACUCUAGACGAACUGCCGUUGACAAAACGGAGGAAGGUGGGGAUGACGUCAAAUCAUCAUGCCCCUUAUGUUCUGGGCUACACACGUGCUACAAUGGCCGGUACAGACGGACGCAAAGCCGCGAGGUGGAGCAAAUCCUAAAAAGCCGGUCUCAGUUCGGAUUGCAGGCUGCAAUUCGCCUGCAUGAAGUCGGAAUCGCUAGUAAUCGCAGGUCAGCAUACUGCGGUGAAUACGUUCCCGGGCCUU
rnacentral:rRNA from 1 species